UAAGAAUGAUAGUAAACGAAGCUACAUCAAUUAAAUUGACCCUGUAAUGAGGUAAAUAACUUACACUAUCUUAUCUUUAAAGGUAAACUAAUACGGGUGAUGCAACAGCCUACUGUUCAUUGGAAAUUCCCAUAACGAUGUUUAUAAUUCUAUUAAAUCCUAAUAUAACAGUGAGUUAAUAACCUGUUCUAAGUUUGUCAUUCUGCAAUAAAUCAUAAAAUUGUCAUAAAUCUGUUUUCUGCAUUAUCUUGUGAAUUAAACAGAUCCUCUACAUAUCAUAUUUACUUGCCUCUCGUCCCUAUUUUUUCUUGCAUGUAUUUUUUUUGUUUUAGAUCAAGGGACAGGUCAAACAAUUAAGGUUAUAUAAUUUAAUAUUAACUGAAAAAGCAAAGGGAAACUUUGUUUGUCUUAUUGAUUUAUUGUAAAUUUUCAGAUGAUAAAAAACAUCUUGAGGACAAAAAUAAACCUGGGGAGCUUAAUUUUACAUUUAAGGAUGCAUCAGUUGUAGCACCCUGUUCGAGCAAACCCCUUUCACGGCAAUCUUUGCAAUUCACUCCGCAGAGGACUGUUUUAUCAGAUUCAAAGUCUGCGAGACAGUUGUCCCCAGCCACACCAGUGAAUUCUACAGCGUCCUGUUCGAGCAAAUCAGAUCUUCCAAGACCGACUUCGCAGUAAACUUCCAAAAAGACAACUGUUUCAUCAGAUUUGGAUUCAGUUUUACAGUUGUCCACAGCCACACUAGUGUAUUCUACAGGUAAUUCAAGCAGGUUCAUAUAUCUAGUAACUAUCUGCUUCAUCUCUCUGCACCGAGUUUCUUUUAUGAUUCCAAACACGAUAAUGAAAAUAUAUCAUAUAAAAGCAUCCUGUUCGAGCAAAUCAGAUCUUCCAAGACCGACUUCGCAGUCAACUUCCACAAAGACAACUGUUUCAUCAGAUUUGGAUUCAGUUUUACAGUUGUCCCCAGCCACACCAGUGAAUUCUACAGAAGCAUCAUGUCCAAGCAGACCCCUUGCCAGACCCUCAAAUGUACGACAAACUCCCAAGAAGAAAACAGUUUCAUCAGAUUCGGACUCGUCGACACAGUUGCCACCAACCACACCACUUAAUUCUACAGCAUCCUGUUCGCACGGACCCAUUGUUCCCAGGCACACGAAUACACGACAAACUCCAAAAAAGAAAACCUUUUCUUCAGAUUCAGAUUCAGUGACGGGACAGUUGCAGCUAGCUUCACCAUUGGAUUCCACAGGUAA